GAGAGCUUCUCUAAUAGAUUAGGGGACGGCUAAGUAAUGUCUUAGUUUAUUUGAUCAAUCAGUAAAAAUAUCAGGUGAAGUGAUGUGGCCUCCAUGUGAAAAAGAGAGGAUAGAACACAAUGAUAAAGUAAUAUGCAGGAAAGCAGAAUGGGGGAAGGAAGAUAUAAAAUCUCACUACAGUAUUAAUGAUUGCUCUGUGUAGACUUUCCCCCUAGGCUUACCUCCAUCUGGAGCUUCAACCUGCACUGUGCCAAACAAGAUUUAGCUUAAAUGUCCAACCAUUUAUUUGGAUUGCAUAGUUGGUAAGAUAAUAACCAUUUAUAUGGUAUCUAGUCUUGAAAAGUCUUUACUGCUUAUUUAAUAAACAUAUCGUUGCAUUUUUCAGGUUUCAUGUUCUUUCCUUUCUGCCAUCGUUGAUGAGAAAGCCAAACUGAACUUACUCUGUGUGCUGGAAUGAACUGGGGUCUGUUAGCCAAAUGGAUCUCAGCCAGAGGGGCUAGAGGGAAUGAACCAAAUCCAAAGGUGGGAUACCUGAUGUAUUACUUCAGCAGCAAAUUCAACAAGGCCAAGAUGUCUUCAUUUCCCUUUAGAGCAAGGGCCGUAAGAGCGGUGCGAUGGAAGCAUUGGUCUUCUGUGGCCAGCCAGCAAGAACCCAUCAGCAGCUGUGAUGAGCAGAGCAGACAUGGGGAGACAGGAGGCAGGCGAAGCCAAAGAGGACCCACGCCUGGAGCUGUGUUUGUGAUUGGAGCAGAGAGAGGCCAGGACCCAAGGAAAUCCCAGCAGCAAAGGAAAAAAACAGAUUGA
rnacentral:lncRNA from 1 species